ensembl:rRNA 5S_rRNA 5S ribosomal RNA
GUCCAUGGCCAUACCAUGCUGAAUGCGCCCGAUCUCGUCUGAUCUCAGAAGCUAAGCAGGGUCGGGCCUGGUUAGUACUUGGAUGGGACACCAUGGUGGGACAUGGUGGCAUGCAGG